rnacentral:rRNA from 1 species
UACAGAGGGGGCAAGCGUUGUUCGGAAUUACUGGGCGUAAAGGGCGCGUAGGCGGCCUGUUAAGUCGAACGUGAAAUCCCCGGGCUCAACCCGGGAACUGCGUCCGAUACUGGCAGGCUUGAAUCCGGGAGAGGGAUGUGGAAUUCCAGGUGUAGCGGUGAAAUGCGUAGAUAUCUGGAGGAACACCGGUGGCGGAAGGCGGCAUCCUGGACCGGUAUUGACGCUGAGGCGCGAAGCGUGGGUAGCAAACAGG